rnacentral:rRNA from 1 species
UACGUAGGGGGCAAGCGUUGUCCGGAAUUAUUGGGCGUAAAGCGCGUGCAGGCGGCGGAUUAAGUCGGAUGUUUAAGAUCGGGGCUCAACCCCGAUUCGCAUCCGAAACUGGUCCGCUUGAGUGUAGGAGAGGAAAGUGGAAUUCCACGUGUAGCGGUGAAAUGCGUAGAGAUGUGGAGGAACACCAGUGGCGAAGGCGACUUUCUGGCCUAUAACUGACGCUGAGGCGCGAAAGCGUGGGGAGCAAACAGG